UGUAGGCGGUUCGGUAAGUUAAAGGUGAAAUCCCGAGGCUUAACCUUGGAAUUGCUUUUAAAACUAUUAAUCUAGAGAUUGAAAGAGGAUAGAGGAAUUCCUGAUGUAGAGGUAAAAUUCGUAAAUAUUAGGAGGAACACCAGUGGCGAAGGCGUCUAUCUGGUUCAAAUCUGACGCUGAAGCGCGAAGGCGUGGGGAGCAAACAGGAUUAGAUACCCUGGUAGUCCACGCUGUAAACGAUGAGU
rnacentral:rRNA from 1 species